GGGUUGUGAGGUUAAGCGACUAAGCGUACACGGUGGAUGCCCUGGCAGUCAGAGGCGAUGAAGGACGUGCUAAUCUGCGAUAAGCGCCGGUAAGGUGAUAUGAACCGUUAUAACCGGCGAUUUCCGAAUGGGGAAACCCAGUGUGACUCGUCACACUAUCAUUAACUGAAUCCAUAGGUUAAUGAGGCGAACCGGGGGAACUGAAACAUCUAAGUACCCCGAGGAAAAGAAAUCAACCGAGAUUCCCCCAGUAGCGGCGAGCGAACGGGGAGGAGCCCAGAGCCUGAAUCAGCAUGUGUGUUAGUGGA
rnacentral:rRNA from 2 species